AGAGUGAACGCUGGCGGUAGGCCUAACACAUGCAAGUCGAACGGCAGCACAGUGGUAGCAAUACCAUGGGUGGCGAGUGGCGGACGGGUGAGGAAUACAUCGGAAUCUACCUUUUCGUGGGGGAUAACGUAGGGAAACUUACGCUAAUACCGCAUACGCCCUUCGGGGGAAAGCCGGGGAUCGCAAGACCUGGCGCGGAUAGAUGAGCCGAUGUCGGAUUAGCUAGUUGGUGAGGUAAUGGCUCACCAAGGCGACGAUCCGUAGCUGGUCUGAGAGGAUGAUCAGCCACACUGGAACUGAGACACGGUCCAGACUCCGUACGGGAGGCAGCAGGUGGGAAUAGUUGGACAAGUGGCACAAGCCUGAUCCAGCCAUACCGCGU
rnacentral:rRNA from 1 species